rnacentral:rRNA from 1 species
GAGCGCUAGCGGGAGGCUUAACACAUGCAAGCCGAGCGCUAUUUGUCUUUCGCAACAUAUAGACCGGCGUACGGCUGCGGAACACAUGUACAACAUCCCUUUAUCAGGGGGAUAGCGUCUGGAGAGGAAGAUUAAUACCCCAUACUAUAAUUGAUGACAUCACAAGUUAUUGAGAAACUCCGGUGGAUAGAGAUGGGCACGCGCAAGAUUAGAUAGUAGGUAGGGCAACGGCCUCCCAAGUCAGUGAUCGUUAGAGGGCCUGAGAGGGUGAUCCACCACACUGGUACUGAGACACGGACCAGACUCUUUCGGGAGGCAGCAGUGAGGAAUAUCGUACAAUGGGCGAGAGCGUGAUCCACCCAUCACGCGUGAAGGACGAAGUCCCUCUGGGCUGUAAACCUCUUUAGGACAGGGAUAAACCUAUCCACGUGUCGAAAGCUGAAGGUACCGUACGAAUGAGCACAGGCUCAGUCCGUGCCAGCAGCCGCGGUAAUACGGAGGGUGCAAGCCUUAUCCGGAUUUAUUGGGUUUAAAGGGUCCGUAGGCGGAUCUGUAAGUCAGUGGUGAAAUCUCAUAGCUUAACUAUGAAACUGCCAUUGAUACUGCAGGUCUUGAGUAAGGUAGAAGUAGCUGGAAUAAGUAGUGUAGCGGUGAAAUGCAUAGAUAUUACUUAGAACACCAAUUGCGAAGGCAGGUUACUAUGUCUUAACUGACGCUGAUGGACGAAAGCGUGGGGAGCGAACAGGAUUAGAUACCCUGGUAGUCCACGCCGUAAACGAUGCUAACUCGUUUUUGGGCUUUUAAGGUUCAAAAACUAAGCGAAAGUGAUAAGUUAGCCACCUGGGGAGUACGUUCGCAAGAAUGAAACUCAAAGGAAUUGACGGGGGCCCGCACAAGCGGUGGAUUAUGUGGUUUAAUUCGAUGAUACGCGAGGAACCUUACCAAGGCUUAAAUGGGAAUUGACAGGCUUAGAAAUAGGCUUUUCUUCGGACAAUUUUCAAGGUGCUGCAUGGUUGUCGUCAGCUCGUGCCGUGAGGUGUUAGGUUAAGUCCUGCAACGAGCGCAACCCCUGUCACUAGUUGCCAUCAUUGAGUUGGGGACUCUAGUGAGACUGCCUACGCAAGUAGAGAGGAAGGUGGGGAUGACGUCAAAUCAUCACGGCCCUUACGCCUUGGGCCACACACGUAAUACAAUGGCCGGUACAGAGGGCAGCUACUAUGUGAAUAGAUGCGAAUCUCGAAAGCCGGUCUCAGUUCGGAUUGGAGUCUGCAACUCGACUCUAUGAAGCUGGAAUCGCUAGUAAUCGCGCAUCAGCCAUGGCGCGGUGAAUACGUUCCCGGGCCUUGUACACACCGCCCGUCAAGCCAUGG